UGGGGAAUCUUCCGCAAUGGACGAAAGUCUGACGGAGCAACGCCGCGUGAGUGAAGACGGCCUUCGGGUUGUAAAGCUCUGUGAUUCGGGACGAAAGGCCAUAUGUGAAUAAUAUAUGGAAAUGACGGUACCGAAAAAGCAAGCCACGGCUAACUACGUGCCAGCAGCCGCGGUAAUACGUAGGUGGCAAGCGUUGUCCGGAAUUAUUGGGCGUAAAGCGCGCGCAGGCGGUCUCUUAAGUCCAUCUUAGAAGUGCGGGGCUUAACCCCGUGAGGGGAUGGAAACUGGGAGACUGGAGUAUCGGAGAGGAAAGUGGAAUUCCUAGUGUAGCGGUGAAAUGCGUAGAUAUUAGGAGGAAUACCGGUGGCGAAGGCGACUUUCUGGCCAUAAUCUGACGCUGAGGUACGAAAGCGUGGGUAGCAAACAGG
rnacentral:rRNA from 1 species